CUUAAAUUGAAGAGUUUGAUCAUGGCUCAGAUUGAACGCUGGCGGCAGGCCUAACACAUGCAAGUCGAG
rnacentral:rRNA from 2 species